GAAUAUUGGACAAUGGGCGAAAGCCUGAUCCAGCCAUGCCGCGUGUGUGAAGAAGGUCUUCGGAUUGUAAAGCACUUUAAGUUGGGAGGAAGGGUAGUAACUUAAUACGUUGCUACUUUGACGUUACCGACAGAAUAAGCAUCGGCUAACUCCGUGCCAGCAGCCGCGGUAAGACGGAGGAUGCAAGUGUUAUCCGGAAUCACUGGGCGUAAAGCGUCUGUAGGUGGUCCAAUAAGUCAACUGUUAAAUCUUGAGGCUCAACCUCAAAAUCGCAGUCGAAACUAUUAGACUAGAGUAUAGUAGGGGUAAAGGGAAUUUCCAGUGGAGCGGUGAAAUGCGUAGAGAUUGGAAAGAACACCGAUGGCGAAGGCACUUUACUGGGCUAUUACUGACACUCAGAGACGAAAGCUAGGGUAGCAAAUGGG
rnacentral:rRNA from 1 species